UACGGAGGGUGCAAGCGUUGUCCGGAAUCACUGGGCGUAAAGGGCGCGUAGGCGGCUCAUGAAGGCUGUGGUGAAAGUCCGGGGCUCAACCUCGGAUCGGCCGUGGCGACUCGUGGGCUGGAGCACUGUAGAGGCGGGUGGAAUUCCGGGUGUAGCGGUGGAAUGCGUAGAGAUCCGGAAGAACACCAGUGGCGAAGGCGGCCCGCUGGGCAGUGGCUGACGGCUGAGGCGCGACAGCGUGGGGAGCA
rnacentral:rRNA from 1 species